UCCCUGGAGGUCCAGUGGCUAAGAACCUCUGCUCCCAAUGCAGGGGACCUGGGUUCAAUUCCUGACCAGGGAA
rnacentral:tRNA from 1 species